rnacentral:rRNA from 1 species
AUAAAAACGGGCACGUGGGCGAACAUAUGUGGCGACGGGUGAGUAUGCAUAGGAAUCUACCUAGUAGUAUGGGAUAGCCACUAGAAAUGGCGGUUAAUACUGUAUAAUCCCUGCGGGGGAAAGAUUUAUCGCUAUUAGAUGAGCCUAUGUUAGAUUAGCUAGUUGGUAGGGUAAAGGCCUACCAAGGCGAUGAUCUAUAGCUGGUCUGAGAGGAUGAUCAGCCACACUGGAACUGAGAUACGGUCCAGACUCCUACGGGAGGCAGCAGUGGGGAAUAUUGGACAAUGGGCGCAAGCCUGAUCCAGCUAUGCCGCGUGAGUGAGGAAGGCCUUAGGGUUGUAAAACUCUUUCAGUAGGGAAGAUAAUGACGGUACCUACAGAAGAAGUCCCGGCAAACUCA